UUUAUGGAGAGUUUGAUCCUGGCUCAGGAUGAACGCUGGCGGCGUGCCUAAUACAUGCAAGUCGAGCGAACGGACGAGAAGCUUGCUUCUCUGAUGUUAGCGGCGGACGGGUGAGUAACACGUGGAUAACCUACCUAUAAGACUGGGAUAACUUCGGGAAACCGGAGCUAAUACCGGAUAAUAUUUUGAACCGCAUGGUUCAAAAGUGAAAGACGGUCUUGCUGUCACUUAUAGAUGGAUCCGCGCUGCAUUAGCUAGUUGGUAAGGUAACGGCUUACCAAGGCAACGAUGCAUAGCCGACCUGAGAGGGUGAUCGGCCACACUGGAACUGAGACACGGUCCAGACUCCUACGGGAGGCA
rnacentral:rRNA from 1 species